rnacentral:rRNA from 1 species
CCUACGGGAGGCAGCAGUAGGGAAUCUUCCACAAUGGGCGAAAGCCUGAUGGAGCAACGCCGCGUGGGUGAAGAAGGUCUUCGGAUCGUAAAACCCUGUUGUUAGAGAAGAAAGUGCGUGAGAGUACCUGUUCACGUUUCGACGGUAUCUAACCAGAAAGCCACGGCUAACUACGUGCCAGCAGCCGCGGUAAUACGGAGGUGGCAAGCGUUAUCCGUAGUUAUUUGGCGUAAAGGGAACGCAGGCGGUCUUUGAAGUCUGCUGUGAAAGCCUUCGGCUUAACCGGAGUAGUGCAUUGGAAACUGGGAGGCUUGAGUGCAGAAGAGGAGAGUGGAACUCCAAGUGUAGCGGUGAAAUGCGUAGAUAUAUGGAAGAACACCAGUGGCGAAGGCGGCUCUCUGGUCUGUAACUGACGCUGAGGUUCGAAAGCGUGGGUAGCAAACAGGAUUAGAUACCCCUGUAGUC